GGUGAGUAAUGUCUGGGAAACUGCCUGAUGGAGGGGGAUAACUACUGGAAACGGUAGCUAAUACCGCAUAACGUCGCAAGACCAAAGAGGGGGACCUUCGGGCCUCUUGCCAUCGGAUGUGCCCAGAUGGGAUUAGCUAGUAGGUGGGGUAACGGCUCACCUAGGCGACGAUCCCUAGCUGGUCUGAGAGGAUGACCAGCCACACUGGAACUGAGACACGGUCCAGACUCCUACGGGAGGCAGCAGUGGGGAAUAUUG
rnacentral:rRNA from 1 species